rnacentral:rRNA from 1 species
CCGGGGCGCGCCCCGGGCGGGGCGGGGGCACGGGGGGAACGCGAAGAACCUUACCAGGUCUUGACAUCCUCUGAAAACUCUAGAGAUAGAGCUUCUCCUUCGGGAGCAGAGUGACAGGUGGUGCAUGGUUGUCGUCAGCUCGUGUCGUGAGAUGUUGGGUUAAGUCCCGCAACGAGCGCAACCCUUGAUCUUAGUUGCCAUCAUUAAGUUGGGCACUCUAAGGUGACUGCCGGUGACAAACCGGAGGAAGGUGGGGAUGACGUCAAAUCAUCAUGCCCCUUAUGACCUGGGCUACACACGUGCUACAAUGGACGGUACAAAGAGCUGCAAGACCGCGAGGUGGAGCUAAUCUCAUAAAACCGUUCUCAGUUCGGAUUGUAGGCUGCAACUCGCCUACAUGAAGCUGGAAUCGCUAGUAAUCGCGGAUCAGCAUGCCGCGGUGAAU